rnacentral:rRNA from 1 species
GUAGUCCACGCCGUAAACGAUGUCGACUUGGAGGUUGUUCCCUUGAGGAGUGGCUUCCGGAGCUAACGCGUUAAGUCGACCGCCUGGGGAGUACGGCCGCAAGGUUAAAACUCAAAUGAAUUGACGGGGGCCCGCACAAGCGGUGGAGCAUGUGGUUUAAUUCGAUGCAACGCGAAGAACCUUACCUACUCUUGACAUCCAGAGAACUUAGCAGAGAUGCUUUGGUGCCUUCGGGAACUCUGAGACAGGUGCUGCAUGGCUGUCGUCAGCUCGUGUUGUGAAAUGUUGGGUUAAGUCCCGCAACGAGCGCAACCCUUAUCCUUUGUUGCCAGCGGUUAGGCCGGGAACUCAAAGGAGACUGCCAGUGAUAAACUGGAGGAAGGUGGGGAUGACGUCAAGUCAUCAUGGCCCUUACGAGUAGGGCUACACACGUGCUACAAUGGCGCAUACAAAGAGAAGCGACCUCGCGAGAGCAAGCGGACCUCAUAAAGUGCGUCGUAGUCCGGAUUGGAGUCUGCAACUCGACUCCAUGAAGUCGGAAUCGCUAGUAAUCGUAGAUCAGAAUGCUACGGUGAAUACGUUCCCGGGCCUUGUACACACCGCCCGUCACACCAUGGGGAGUGGGUUGCAAAAGAAGUAGGUAGCUUAACCUUCGGGAGGGCGCUUACCACUUUGUGAUUCAUGACUGGGG